rnacentral:rRNA from 1 species
UACGGGAGGCAGCAGUGGGGAAUAUUGCACAAUGGGCGCAAGCCUGAUGCAGCCAUGCCGCGUGUAUGAAGAAGGCCUUCGGGUUGUAAAGUACUUUCAGUCGUGAGGAAGGUGUUAAGGUUAAUAACCUUAGCAAUUGACGUUAGCGACAGAAGAAGCACCGGCUAACUCCGUGCCAGCAGCCGCGGUAAUACGGAGGGUGCGAGCGUUAAUCGGAAUUACUGGGCGUAAAGGGCACGCAGGCGGUUAAUUAAAGUUGGAUGUGAAAUCCCCCGGGCUUAAACCUGGGAAUGGCAUUCAAGACUGGUUAGCUAGAGUCUUGUAGAGGGGGUAGAAUUCCAUGUGUAGCGGUGAAAUGCGUAGAGAUGUGGAGGAAUACCGGUGGCGAAGGCGGCCCCUGGACAAAGACUGACGCUCAUGUGCGAAAAGCGUGGGGAGCAAAACAGGGAUUAGAUACC